UACGUAGGGCGCAAGCGUUGUCCGGAAUUAUUGGGCGUAAAGAGCUCGUAGGCGGCUUGUCGCGUCUGCUGUGAAAAUCCGGGGCGUCAACCCCGGACUUGCAGUGGGUACGGGCAGACUGGAGUACGUGCAGGGGAGACUGGAAGUUCCUGGUGGUAGCGGUGGAAUGCGCAGAGUAUCAGCAGGAACACCCGUGGCGAAGGCGGACU
rnacentral:rRNA from 1 species